UGUUCUAAAUUCCAAGGCAGAGCUGUGGUAUGAAAACCAUAAGGUACUACAUAAUAGUACAUAUGUAGGUAGGUUAAACCUAUAUAUACAAUAUAAUACGACAUAUACCUAAGAUAUCACGUCCUACACCGCUCAUCACCCAUCAGUGCAUCACGUCUCACACUGUGUAUAAUAUACUAAGAUGGUGUUGGAAUAAGGCAGUCUUAUACAAGUAAACGACUGUUCACGGACAGCUGUUGCAGUGGCUUGUAAAUUAUUAUUCGCAAGUAUGAACAACACCGUCGGGAUCUUGGCGGUUUUAUUGGCAGCUUUCUCAGCACUGCAGCUAGGUCGAGGCGAACUAUCGUCACUUGGACGAUUAUGACGGUGCUGCGCUGCUUCCGCCGCACCCGCGGUGUUCCAAUCAGGAGGAUCCUAUAGCUGCAGUUGCAGGCGUUGCAGCUGGCGUCUUGGAGCCUUUCACGUCGAUUUUCAUGCCACAUCGUCACGUUAAAGGCCAGUACAGUACGACGCAGCUGUUGCCUUUUCCCGUUGCGCCGUUGAACAUCGCCCGACCGUUUACGCAACUUCAGCAGACCCUGCCUCAUCCACCUCUGUUCGGACCUCUGUUUUCCCCUUUUUUGUAGGUACCUUGUGCAAAAGAAAUACAGUUCUGGAAAAUAUAACAACAAUAUCAGUUUUAUCGUUUAAUAAUACAGAUUCCUGCAGUUGUGUUUCACACGAAUUGUUUUCAAUUAUUCAUACUCGCUAUACCUAUAUGUACGAUCAUGCAUAUCUACAAUAAAAUAAUUAUAUUUUAA